CCCCACUGCUAUCGAGGUGAGACUUAGCCAGGCCAGUCGAACGACUCGGACUAUGGCGAGAAGUGGCAAACUGCUCAGUAACACGUAGCUAACCUACCCUCAGGACGGAGACAACCCCGGGAAACUGGGGUUAAUCCCCGAUAGGCGUGAAUUCCUGGAAUGGUGUCACGCCGAAACGUUAACACACCAUGUUUGUGUACACGCCUGAGGAUGGGGCUGCGGCCGAUCAGGCAGUUGGUGAGGUAACGGCUCACCAAACCUUUGACCGGUACGGGCCGUGAGAGCGGUAGCCCGGAGAUGGACACUGAGACAAGGGUCCAGGACCUACGGGUCGCAGCCGGUACGAAACCUCCACAAUGCACGCAAGUGCGAUGGGGUUACCUCGAGUGCCGCCUGAAGAAGGCGGCUUUUCCAUUGUGUAAUGAGCCGUGGGAAUAAGGGGGGGGCAAGACUGGUGUCAGCCGCCGCGGUAACACCAGCCCCCCGAGUGGUGGGGAUGUUUAUUUGGCCUAAAACGUCCGUAGCCAGCUAGGUAAAUCUCUCGUUAAAUCCAGCGUCCUAAGCGUUGGGCUGCGAGAGAGACUGCCAAGCUAGAGGGUGGGAGAGGUCAGCGGUAUUUCUGGGGUAGGGGCGAAAUCCAUUGAUCCCAGGAGGACCACCAGUGGCGAAGGCUGCUGACUAGAACACGCCUGACGGUGAGGGACGAAAGCUGGGGUAGCGAAUCGGAUUAGAUACCCGAGUAGUCCCAGCCGUAAACGAUGCAGGCUAGGUGUUGGGUUGGCCAUGUGCCGACUCAGUGCCACAGGGAAGCCAUUAAGCCUGCUGCCUGGGGAGUACGGUCGCAAGGCUGAAACU
rnacentral:rRNA from 1 species